ACUUACAUGGUGUAAGUUUUAUGCGGAAAUCCAACCGCGUAUCGGCCUAGAACGCCGCUUUUUCUUAAGGAGAAAUAAAUG
rnacentral:ncRNA from 1 species